rnacentral:rRNA from 1 species
AACGAACGCUGGCGGCAGGCCUAACACAUGCAAGUCGAGCGCUCUCUUCGGAGGGAGCGGCGGACGGGUUAGUAACGCGUGGGAAUGUACCCUUCUCUAAGGAAUAGCCAUUGGAAACGAUGAGUAAUACCUUAUACGCCCCCCGGGUCAAACUGGGGGGAAAGAUUUAUUGGAGAGGGAUCAGCCCGCGUAAGAUUAGAUAGUUGGUGGGUAAUGGCCUACCAAGUCUACGAUCUUUAGCUGGUUUUAGAGGAUGAUCAGCAACACUGGGACUGAGACACGGCCCAGACUCCUACGGGAGGCAGCAGUGGGGAAUCUUAGACAAUGGGCGCAAGCCUGAUCUAGCCAUGCCGCGUGUGUGAUGAAGGUCUUAGGAUCGUAAAGCACUUUCGCCAGGGAUGAUAAUGACAGUACCUGGUAAAGAAACCCCGGCUAACUCCGUG